AAUACAGAUAUUGGCAGCUGCUGAGGCCGGACGUGAUGUUGUUUAUUUUACCUUUGGAGAUGUGGAGCUGAUGCGGGAUAUUUACAGCAUGCACACUUUUCUCUGUGAGAAGGGCCAAACUAUUGGGGACAUUUAUAGGCUGUUACUGAGAUACUACAAUGAAGAAUGCAGAAGCUGUUCUACUUCAGGACCAGAUGUCAAGCUGUACUCUUUCAUAUACAACACCAUUGAGUCCUAUGCAGAUUCUACUGAUGAUGAUGAUGAAGAAAAAGGGUUGUGCUUUGAGGAUUAAAAUAAAUGUACUUGAUCA